AUGACAACAAGGGGAGAGACUACUUAUGUAGCGCCGAAGGAGCAAGCAAACUUUGUGAAUCUCUCAGGCAAAAGAACUCUUGUUUGACG
rnacentral:ncRNA from 2 species